CUGCCACUCCCUGGGCAGUGGGCAGUCUGCAUUUUCGUAGACUGACUGACCCUCCUUGAACCAGGACCCGUUGUACAAGAUACAGGACCAGAACCAGAGCAGAACCGGACCAGAUCUCGCUGCCGUUCGUCGCCGUCGCCGUCGCCAUGGACCCGAGCCGGCCGCUCCUUGGGCGCGGCGGCUUCCUCCCCUCCUCCGCCCACGCCGUCGCCGCCAUGGCUCUCAUUGCCUUCCUCCUCCUCACCCUACUCCGCCUCCCCCUCAGCCUCUCCAUCUCCAUCUACACCCCUCCUCCCCCGCUCGCCGUCGCCGACCAGCACCACCACCAGGAGGACCAAGAGCAGCAGGACGACAGCUCCUCCUGCGACCUCUCCUCCCCGCUCGACUGCGCCGACCCGCGCCUCUUCCACCUCAUGAUGCGCAGCGCCAUCGACGCCUUCCCCGCCGUCCACUUCGCCCGCUUCGGCCGCCCCGUCCCCGGCGACCCGCCCUCCACCUCCUGCGACAUGGCCUGGCGCGCCCGCUCCAACUCCAACUCCUCCGCCUCCACCGCCUCCCCCACCGCCACCACCAAGGACUACCGCCGCUUCGCCAUCGCGCGGGACCCCCGCACCUGCACCUACUCCGUCCUCUCCAUCGGCGACUACCACUCCGGCCCCAACGCCCGCAAGCCCCGCCCCGGCGUCACCAACGCCACCACCGCCGCGCCGCCCCCGCCCCCGCUCUCGCGCUCCCAGUUCGCCGCCGCCGCCUACCUCUCCUACCACGGCGGCGGCGACCGCUGCAAGCCCAUGCCGCACUACAUGCGCAGCCUCCUCUGCGCCCUCGCCGAGGCCCGCUACCUCAACCGCACCCUCGUCCUCGACCUCACCCUCUGCCUCGCCGCGUCCUACACCGCCGCCGGCAUGCCCGAGGAAGGCAAGCGCCUCGCCUUCUACAUCGACGUCGACCACCUCCGGUCGUCCGUGGCCGGCAUCGUCGAGGAAAGGCGGUUCUGGGAGGACUGGGACAGGUGGGGAGCGCAGGGCCAGCUCGGCCUCCGCCUCGUCGAGGACACCAGGGUUCCCCCCACCAAGUUCUCCAAGGCCAAGGACAUCCUCGUCGUCAGGAAAUUCGGGGACGUCCAGCCGGGGAACUACUGGUACCGUGUGUGCGAGGGCGAGGCGGAGCGCGUGCUCUCCCCGCCACGCCGUGCCAUACGCCUGGCACCAAGUCUGACGAGCAUCGUCGAUGCUAUCAUCUCGAGCAUGCAACCGGACUUCGAUUCAGUCCAUGCUGAUGCCAAUGCCGAGGACCUCAGGCGGAAAAUCGAGGAGAGUGUUGAUGCGGGGCGGCAGGUGUAUCUUGCGGGAGAGGGGAUCAGCAUGGUCUUGGUUGAGGCGCUCAAGGCAAAAUACAGCAACCUGCAUUACCUGGAUGAUUUCCAGGGCCUCUGGAGGAAAGACAGCAAGUGGUUCGUGGAGAUGAAGAGGCUCAAUGGUGGAGUCCCCGUGGAGUUCGAUGGCUACAUGCGCGAGCUGGUGGACAGGGAGGUCUUCCUCAAGGGCAAGAAAAUGGUCGAGGUGCACCGCUGAUUUCUAAGCUGUUUGGGAAACACGGCAUACUCUUCUCAAACCAGGUGGUUAUAUAGGAUGUUUAUAGCCCCCAUGCAAUUUUGGAAAACUUCAGGUGAAAGGGGUAACGUACCAUGCUGCGAUGGCUGUGGUGGAAGAUGCCGGUGUAACCGACGGUGUAUCCUCGGCCCUGCCGUACAAUUGGUUCUCUGAGAUUUGGUCAAUCAUGCCUUUGGUUCUUGCGGUUUGACCGGACAACCCACGUCGAGCAAUGAUCUGGGUAAUGAAGCCAGUGAAGUAUCUCACGGGCGUUCUCCAGCUUUGGUAUUCCUGACUUUUUAGGGAUACCUGUAAUUAACCAGGUAAAAAAACAGUGUGCAUGUGAGUAACAAACAAGCAAACAUUUCUGAAGUGUAUGUUUCAUCAACUUGUUAAGAGUUGUAGUAGUGUCAUUGUUGGCCAAAAUAUGGGCCAGUCCUAUACACCGACCAGGUCGGUGCCGAUGCGGGUUGCCGCACACCCCUGGUCGGGUAUUGGGCCUGGCCCAUUUAACUUUUUCGCUUUCGUUUUCUCUUUUUUUUUCCUUUUUUCUUUUUCCGUUUUCUGUUUUAUUUUUCUUUUUCUUUCUGUUUAUUUUUUCUUUUGUUCAAAUUAGAAAAGUUUUUAUUCAAAAAACGUCAAAUUUGAGAAUUACGAAAAUUCGAAAACUGUUCAAAUAUGAAAACUGUUUAAAUUCAAAAUUUGUUCAAAUAUGAAAAUCGUUCAUAUUCGAAAUUUGUUCAAAUUUGAAUUUUGUUCAAAUUUGAAAAUUGUUCUAAUAUGAAAAUCGUUCAAAUUCGAAAAUUGUUCAAAUAUAAAUUUUGUUCAAAUUUAGAAAUGUUCAAAUUCGGAAAUUGUUCAUAGAAAAAAAAUACAUUUUUUGUUCAAAUUAAAAAAUGUUCAAAUCUGAAAAUGUUCAGAUUUUUUAAAAAGUGAUUUAUUUUUAAUUUGAUUUUUUAAUUUUUUUUACAAAUGUUCAGAUUUUUAAAAAAGA